ACAUAUGAUGUAUACAUAUAAUUGUUAUUUUUAUGUUGAUUGGUCCCAUCACGAGCAAUUCGCACCCACCCAUUAAAAAUCCUGCGUACGCGCCUGGAGCUAAUGAUAAGAAUAAUUAACGACUAAAUAUAUAAAACAAGCGACUUGCCACAUAUCAUUUGAAAAGGGUUUUAGCUAACAAACUAGUUUGUUCUGUAUCCAUGUCCCAACAUAGCUGUGCUAUUGUUACAAGAUGGGCAGCAGGCCAGUUGAUAAUAUAGUAGCAUUUUCCAUAUUUGUUCAUUGAAUGACUAAUAAAAUGUCACCGCCGAUAUUCGGCUUUCCUGAAAUUCUGCUUGCUUUUGAUAGCUGCUUGCUUGAGUAUGUCAUGUGACCGUUUCAGCAGCACGUGAUUUGUUUGUGACAACAAAGUCGAGUUCAACCAGACCGAGAAAAAAACCCGUUCGCUUGUGGGUUGUUGCGCUUCACCUUAAACCAGAUUACCACAUCGAGGACCAGUUAAAUAGAUAGCGAACGUGGGCGUCGCUGAACACGGUACAAGAUGACUACUAGCUUUCACUUCACGAAGGAGUCACCUCCGGAUAUUAUGUUUACUGACAUUCAGACAGUGAACAAAUUUAACAAUGAGAUAAAGACCAUCGUUAGUUUCACACAACAUAGCCAUGAUCCACAGGAUCAGUCUGUAGCAGUGGCAAAGCUGCGUUCAGCCAUGAAGGAGCGUGCUGGCACAUCACGUGGUACACUUACUCAGCUCCUAGUCGAUUCCAUCAGUGACACACCUGUAGAUGUACGCGCAGAACUCGGUAAACCUGAUCACAUCAAACGUGCACUGCGUCGAGAACGGGCUAAACAUAUGCCCAAGAACCCCACUUCGCUCCGUGAUCUCAUGCUAGAUGAUGAAUGGACCACUUCAAGUGAUGGAGACAGAUUUCUCAUAUAUGACAACGGUGUGGAUUCCUCUGAUCGUAUGUUAGUGUUCGGGACUGAUGACGGAUUACGUCACCUUGCCAGUUCUGAGUCAUGGUUUAUGGAUGGAACAUUCACAGUUGCUCCACUGUUGUUUACUCAGCUGUAUGUGAUUCGUGUUCCACUCGGUGAGUCAGCUGUGACGUGUGUGUAUGCAUUUCUACCAAACAAGCACCAAUCCACAUAUGAGGAACUAUUCAUAUCAAUUCAGGAUCGCUGCAGCGAGCUAGGAUUCCAGGCUGAUCCUGUAACUGUCACCCUCGACUUUGAACAAGCUGUGAUGAAUGCAGUAAUAACAACCUUUGGUCCACAAGUCAAUGUUCAUGGAUGCUUCUACCAUCUUACGCAGAGCACGUGGAGGAAAAUACAGAGUCUCGGCCUUGUUCAACGCUAUCGGGAAGAGAAGGAUGUUAAGCUUUUCUGUGGUAUGCUUGAUGGACUGGCAUUCCUACCAGUUAAUGAUGUACCAGAGGGGAUGACCUAUCUGCGUGACAACACCCCUGAUGGGCUGGAACCCUUGCUCGUGUAUUUUGACAGCACUUAUGUGUCAGGAUCUUAUCGCCGUAUUCAGCCUCCUCAACGAUCAGAUGGAUCUGUACCUCCUCUUCGUAUGCGCCGUAUUCCCCCUGCGUACGCACCAUCCAUCUGGAAUGUGCACACCAUCACAUUGAAAGGUGGAUCCAGAACCAAUAACAUAUGUGAGGGGUGGAACAAUUCCUUUGCGAAACUAGUUGGACAUGCCCACCCAACCAUCUGGAGAGCCAUAGACAGCAUUCGGAAGGAUCAAACCCAGGCUGCUACUGCACGACUUAUGGAUGAGCGUGGUGAACGACCUGCAAAACGGGUACGACACCACAUAAAGAAGCUGCAGACGAAGCUCCAUAACCUCUGCACUGACAGACGGGAUGACAUCAAGUCCAUUUCGGAAGUUCUGAAAGGCAUCGGCCACUGUGUGAGGUGGAAGUAGGCUAGAUUACACUUGUUUCAAUAAAAAAUAAAUACUGUAUAUACGAUUUUGUUAUAUAUUGAGAUAUAUGAGUGGUGUUAUGUCCGAGUGGGUUUUUUUCUGUGUGGGGUUAUGUCCGAGUGGGGUUUUUUCCAGUGGGGUUUUAUCCAGUGGUUUUUUUUCCGGGUGGGGUUUUGUCCGUUUACCAUUUGUACUAGGUAACGUAGGUUAAAUUUCAUUUUAUUUCCUAAAAUAUAGUUUUUUCGUUCGUAUGAAAUUAUUUGAAGACAAAAUCCAGUUUGGGCUUCUUACAAAUAUUAAGACUACCAGAAACACAUUGAAUAUACAUAGGGGAGACCGGGGCACAGUGGGACACUGGGUACAGUGGGACAUUGCUAAUUUAUUUAAUUUAUAUUAACCAAUCAAAUACCUUGUUACAUAGUGGUAUGCAGCAUCACAUGUGUAAGCUUCCAUUGCAGAAUUCACAGAGUUCUGCUCAACAUAUGAACUUUUGUACAAACUUCAACGUUUUGACAGCAUUUUACAAUGGUCCGAAACAGGCAGAGAAAGACUAACAUUGGAAUGGUGGAUGAGAAAACAAUGGCAAUGGCGGUGAAUGAUGUUUCUAAUGGGAGUUCCAUACGACAAACUGCCUCAAAAUACAAUAUUGCUAGACAAACAUUAUGUCGAUACGUUUCAAGAACAAAGGCAGCCAUAGCUAACCAUGAACUUCCACGUUUUACACCAAACUACAGUGUAAGAAAGAUAUUCACAGAUGAAGAAGAGAACAUGCUUGUAACUUACUUACUGACAAGCUGUCAAAUGCACUGUGGCCUGUACCCCAGCCACCCAAGCUACAGAGACAGUUAAUUCCCCAAACAUUAAACCUACCCAAACCAAAAAGACAUAUGUAACUAAUUCAAUGUAUGUGUUCACCCCACUAAAGCAAAGCAUAGAAGCUAAUAAAACGAGCAAGUUAGUGAGUCCUGAAGAAAUACGACCAUAUCCUAAAGCUGGAGUGAGGAAAGGAAAAGUAGUAAAUAGGAAGCGAGGACGUACUAGAAUUGUUACAGAUACACCAGAAAAAGAAGAAUUAAUGAAAGAACAAGAGAAACAGCUUGCAAAAAAAUCAUUAGAACUGGAGUGUAAAAAGAGAAAGGUGAAACAGCUUUUUCCUCCUGCCAAGAGGAGAGUUCCUGAGAAAAGUGAUCACAGUGGAUCUGAAUCCGACGCCGAAUCAGAUGUGGUUUAUUCUGAAAACAGCGAUGAAGCCAGUCUUAGUGAUCAACAACAUGAUUUAUCAGAUUCCAUAUCUGUAGGAGAUUAUGUUCUUGUAAAGUUUGCCACCAAACGAUCAGUAUUACAUUAUGUUGGUCUGAUAACAAAAGAUGAAGCUGGUGGUGAAUAUGAAGUGAAAUUCUUGAAAUCUAGUACAAAAAGUGGUAAACAGUUUAGAUGGUCUGAACCUGAAGAUGUUUCAUUGGUGAACUCUGAAGACAUAGUAAAGAAAUUGCCCCCACCCUCCACUGUUGGUGGAACGGCAAGAGCCAAGAAACGUGUUCUCCACUGAUCUUACCUCGUAUCAUCCACUGUAAGGUAUCCAUGGUCAAGGCACAAGUUUUAAACAAUCAACCCUUAACUCCCCCAAAACAGAACACGAAAUAUAAAACCUCUGAAAACCCACAGCAAAAAAACCCCAAGAAAACUGAAAAUGUUCUGUCAGUUUGUGUGUAGCUUGUUCUUUUCUGGAAAAUGGAUGGUUAUAUUUUAAUAAACACGUUUCAGUUCA